rnacentral:lncRNA from 1 species
AGCCGCUUUGCAAAAGUUUGACAAAUUUCUGUCUUAAUAAACCGGAUAACAGAAGUGUGUACUUAAAAUAGGAAAUGAUAUAAUAAUCUACGUCCAUUUCAUGUGUUAGAAUAUCAUCUGAUGCUAGAACAUAUUAAAGGAUGAAAUUGAGUGAAUAUCUUGUACUUUUUUGUUUUCUGUUGUUUUAUAAAACACGAGGAGGACGUGGGGAUGUACCUGGAAAUGUACCAGAAAUAAACAAUAGUAGCAAAGAAUUUUUAGAGGUCCUUCAGAAAAUUAUUAGGGAGAGAGUGGAAGAACUUAUUGAAAAGAGGAGCGAGGAACUAUUUCUGAAGCUAGAAAGAAAGAUUAAAACCGUAAGCGAAACCAACAACCAGAUUAAAAAUAUCUUGCAUCAACAAGCUCCAAUAAUGUUUCAAUAUACAAGUUUCUACGCAGUUUUUAGUGAUGUUCAGAGCAAAGUUGCGAGAAAAAGUGACAAUUAUAUCUUCAACAGAAAAACUAAAUUGAUAAAUGAGACCGAACACGAGAUCAUUCAAUUUGUAAGUAAAAUGCGUUCGUACGUUUCCAAAACUACGACUGAUAUACAGACGGGAGUGUUACGAAGAUACAAGGAUAUAUUGAGUGAUGUGGAUGCAAUUUCUGUUAGUACAAGUGAGAUCCUUAGUUCUAGAGUAAACACAAUUGUCCAAAAUAUUUCCAACCUCGAAUUAGAGGUGGAACAAACGAUAGCUUUCUAUGCAACACUUUCCGACAAUGUUCCUCAGAGCGGUGAGAUAAUUAAAUUCGACAACAUUAUAACAAACUCUGGAAAUGGAUACUCCGUCACAGAAGGAUUGUUUACUGCUCCUAUUGAUGGAUUGUAUACUAUUCAUUGCUCAUUUCUUGUAGUCAAUGGUUAUGUAAAUAUAGAACUCAUGAGGAACUACAAUAAAAUAGGAAGAGGCUACGCAGCGGAAGGAAAACAUGAGAAUACUGGUUCCAUAUUUGUUACAACAGAUUUAAUGGAAGGCGACGAAGUACAUUGCCGUAAACUUCCCGAUUACAGUACAGGAAUAAUUCGCGGAGAUUUAUACACCACUUUUUCUGGAUACAUUUUAUAAAAGCUUAGGUAUGGGUACCCUAUAUGACUUUUAAUCUGGCAAGAUGUCUAUACUAUGUGUGUGACUUGAACAAUAUUUGUACGCCAUGACUAUGUCGAGAAUGUACAUACUCACUAUAUACACAUUUCCAUUCUAAAAAUAAAGUUGUUUGCAU